rnacentral:rRNA from 1 species
CUACGUGCCAGCAGCCGCGGUAAUACGUAGGUGGCAAGCGUUGUCCGGAAUUAUUGGGCGUAAAGCGCGCGCAGGCGGAUCAGUCAGUCUGUCUUAAAAGUUCGGGGCUUAACCCCGUGAUGGGAUGGAAACUGCUGAUCUAGAGUAUCGGAGAGGAAAGUGGAAUUCCUAGUGUAGCGGCGAAAUGCGUAGAUAUUAGGAAGAACACCAGUGGCGAAGGCGACUUUCUGGACGAAAACUGACGCUGAGGCGCGAAAGCCAGGGGAGCGAACGGGAUUAGAUACCCCGGUAGUCCUGGCCGUAAACGAUGGGUACUAGGUGUAGGAGGUAUCGACCCCUUCUGUGCCGGAGUUAACGCAAUAAGUACCCCGCCUGGGGAGUACGACCGCAAGGUUGAAACUCAAAGGAAUUGACGGGGGCCCGCACAAGCGGUGGAGUAUGUGGUUUAAUUCGACGCAACGCGAAGAACCUUACUAGGUCUUGACAU